CCAUCUCCUCCUACCUAACCGUUCGUCCAACAGAAAGAAAGAUAAAAUCCUCCAGAUCUUGGAUUCCGGCCGCCACCGACCUGCACCCACAUAGUCCCUCCGGCUUGAGCAGCAGCGGAGACGGGAACCACCCUUCCGAGCCAGGCUCCGGCCGCCGCCAACGCGCAUCCCCAUAGCCCCUCCUAUUAGGGCGAUUUGAAUGGUCCCUACGAACUAGGGUUCCGGCCGUCGCCGACGCGGACCACCGUGUGGCACAGCUGGUCGAUCUUCGGCUAGUAUGAGGCGGCGCCGCAGAAGCCAUGCGCGGCCAUGAAGGUUUAGGAGGGCCGCGCGGCCCAGCCGGCCAAGUACUGGGCCGAGGCAGUGGCGGUGUCGCCGGCGGUUGCCGCCGAGCGCGGCGACGAAGCUGCAGGUGGCCGAGGCAGAGGCGGUGUCGCCGGUGGCAACCGCCGAGCGCGGCAACGAAGCUGCAGGUGGCCGAGCCCACCGUUACAACUAUUCUCAUACGACGUCCCUGGCGAACAAAGCUGACCAUGGUUUGCAGCGGAGUUAGAGCGGCGGAAGUUGCAGAAUGCGCCGUCGCCAGCAGCUGCACGCCCAGCUGCAGCGCCGCCUCCUCCUUCCGCAAAUUGGGUUGAGGGGCCUUACGUCCAUGGUCUCAUCGAACCUCCAUGGUCAGCAGUCUUGUCGCGGCGUCGAGGUCUGGUGGUUGACGGAUGUUGCCCUGCAGAGUUUCCAACGCCGGCAGUGAUGCAGCGUGCAGCAUGCUGCGUACAGCGAUGUGGCCGUGCCGCUAUAAUCCGAGCAUAUGACUUAGUUUUCAGGCAGCAACAAUUAACACCCCUGAUCAUUGGGCCGGCCAUGGAUGCGAAGAUGCUGCGACGAGCGCGACCACCAAGGUCUAACGUGGUGGCAGAAAAGCGGGUAAUUGCGGGAGCACGCCGGGACGAGGUCGGCGAGGGAGAGGGCAAGGACAGAGGUCGGUGAGGGCAAGGGCGAGGACCCAUGUCAGAGAGGGAGAGAACAACUGGUGUGAGAGGUUAUGUUGGUGUGAGAGGUUACUGGCAAACAACAUUUAGUUAACUCUUCGCGCCAAGGCCAGUGAGAUCACCGUUGAGAUCAAGAUCAACAACCAACAUUUAUCGAGGGGUUGUUUUUCAAAUCCACUUUAAACACAGACACCUUUCACCUGCUCUCUGGGUUGUUGUCAUUAGCAGCUGUCCUAUUUAGCUCAGACCUGAGCCUUGUAAUCGCUUUCAUUGUUGUAUUUGGUUAAAUCCUAGCCGUUUGUUCCGGCUGGCAUCACUUCCUCUUGUAAGAUUAGAUCUGAAUCUAAUAAGGCGUAGCUGAAAGUAGUGACUGAAUUCGUGCGAUUUUCCUGAA